GAGGCGUGGCCGCGUGGGGGCAGCGCACGGCUGCGGUAAAGCUCCCAGGAAAAGCUGCUGGCGAGCAUGUCGUUGACGUGCUGGAGCUGCUCCACCUCCGGGUCGUUCCACUCCGGCGAGGUGGAGACGACUCCCAGCCAGUAGCCACUGCAGCCUGUUGCCCGCGGAUGCUGCUCCUCCUCCUCCAAGGAUCUCCGCUCCUGCAAGCGGCACUCCUACUGCUUCUUUCUGACUCGUAUGCAUGCUUAUCAUUUUUCUGCAGCCCAUUGCUCAACUCAAACAACUUGCUCCUCUAUUCUCUGCUGAUCCUUUCAUUUUCAUUGGCAAGUUAAAUCUCUCAUUCGAUGCUUGAAAAUCUCCCGACUCCCACCCUUAUGCUACCGUAUCCCCUGUCAAUCUUUAAGUUAUGGAACUGAUUCUUAUAAAGUUGAAAGGGGAGCAAUGAUUGGUUAAUGUAUACAUCUCUGCUCCCUCUGUGUGAUCAGAUGAGGAGACCAGACAUUCAGACCCAAAUCAGCAGAAGUUUUUACAAGAGCAACCGGUGAGCAAAUAUAAAUUCAUCAGAACAGUGUCAAAUUUGUCCCGGCUUUGUUGUAAGAACCAAGUUAAUCUUCUUAAUUUCAUGUCAGAAACAAGGCGUCGUCUUACUAGAGUGCAAGAAGUGCCCAUUAGGACAGAGGCGACGAAGCUCCAGCUCUAGGACGACGAACACUAUGGGCGAGCAUCACAAGUCAGAGCGCGGAACAGAGGUCAGAGGAGAUAGAUAUCCGCACGAUUCUUCAACACCAAGCGUUGUUUUUUCGGAAAUCGUAAGCAACCAACCAACCGAGUAAUUGCCGAUAAAACG
rnacentral:lncRNA from 1 species